UACGUAGGUGGCAAGCGUUGUCCGGAAUUAUUGGGCGUAAAGCGCGCGCAGGUGGUUCCUUAAGUCUGAUGUGAAAGCCCUCGGCUCAACCGAGGAGGGUCAUUGGAAACUGGAGGACUUGAGUGCAGAAGAGGAAAGUGGAAUUCCAAGUGUAGCGGUGAAAUGCGUAGAGAUUUGGAGGAACACCAGUGGCGAAGGCGACUUUCUGGUCUGUAACUGACGCUGAGGCGCGAAAGCGUGGGGAGCAAACAGG
rnacentral:rRNA from 1 species